GACGUAGGGAGCGAGCGUUGUCCGGAUUCAUUGGGCGUAAAGAGCGCGCAGGCGGUUUGGUAAGUCGGAUGUGAAAACCCGGGGCUCAACCCCGGGCGUGCAUCUCGAUACUGCCCGACUAGAGGUAGGUAGGGGAGAUCGGAAUUCCUGGUGUAGCGGUGAAAUGCGCAGAUAUCAGGAGGAACACCGGUGGCGAAGGCGGAUCUCUGGGCCUUACCUGACGCUCAGGCGCGAAAGCUAGGGGAGCGAA
rnacentral:rRNA from 1 species